AGAGUUGAUCCUGGCUCAGGAUGAACGCUAGCGACAGGCUUAACACAUGCAAGUCGAGGGGCAGCAUAAAAGUAGCAAUACUUGGUGGCGACCGGCGCGACGGGUGAGUAACGCGUAUGCAACCUACCUAUCGAGAGGGGAAUAACCCGGCGAAAGUCGGACUAAUACCGCAUAAAACAGGGGCACCGCAUGGUGAUAUUUGUUAAAGAAAUUCGCUGAUAGAUGGGCAUGCGUUCCAUUAGGUAGUUGGUGAGGUAACGGCUCACCAAGCCGACGAUGGAUAGGGGAACUGAGAGGUUGGUCCCCCACACUGGUACUGAGACACGGACCAGACUCCUACGGGAGGCAGCAGUGAGGAAUAUUGGUCAAUGGGCGGGAGCCUGAACCAGACCCAAGUCGCGUGAAGGAAGAAGGAUCUAUGGUUCGUAAACUUCUUUUGAAGGGGAAUAAAGUACGGUACGUGUACCGUUUUGUAUGUACCCUUCGAAUAAGGAUCGGCUAACUCCGUGCCAGCAGCCGC
rnacentral:rRNA from 1 species